AAGUCGUAACAAGGUUUCCGUAGGUGAACCUGCGGAAGGAUCAUUUCCAAAAACCUUUUCUUUGCCUUUCCUUUUUGCUCCUUGUCGGUGCACUCGCAUCUCCAAGGGCAAAAAAGAAUGACAAGGAAAUAUACCAACUCCAUCAUGCUUUUCCCUUCUACCUCAUUUCCCUUCCAACGACAUACAACGUAUGUCAAAGUAAGAGGAAAGGUGGGAUAGGAAUGGGAAGGCAUCAUUCUCAAGUCUAACAGUAUCAAAAUAACAAAAAAACAACUUUUAACAACGGAUCUCUUGGCUCUC
rnacentral:misc_RNA from 1 species